ACAUCCAGCGAACUUGGCAGAGAUGCCUUGGUGCCUUCGGGAACGCUGAGACAGGUGCUGCAUGGCUGUCGUCAGCUCGUGUUGUGAAAUGUUGGGUUAAGUCCCGNAACGAGCGCAACCCUUAUCCUUUGUUGCCAGCGAUUCGGUCGGGAACUCAAGGGAGACUGCCGGUGAUAAACCGGAGGAAGGUGGGGAUGACGUCAAGUCAUCAUGGCCCUUACGAGUAGGGCUACACACGUGCUACAAUGGCGCAUACAAAGAGAAGCGACCUCGCGAGAGCAAGCGGACCUCAUAAAGUGCGUCGUAGUCCGGAUCGGAGUCUGCAACUCGACUCCGUGAAGUCGGAAUCGCUAGUAAUCGUGGAUCAGAAUGCCACGGUGAAUACGUUCCCGGGCCUUGUACACACCGCCCGUCACACCAUGGGAGUGGGUUGCAAAAGAAGUAGGUAGCUUAACCUUCGGGAGGGCGCUUACCACUUUGUGAUUCAUGACUGGGGUGAAGUCGUAACAAGGUAAGCGUAGCGAG
rnacentral:rRNA from 1 species